AUGCCCUGCAGCCACAUGUACCACCAGGACUGCAUCCUGCCGUGGCUCGCGCUGCGUAACUCGUGUCCUGUGUGCCGGCACAAGCUGCCCACAGAUGUGGUGUGGCCUGCUCCGGUGAGUGACCUCAGUGUCGCCGAUGACCAGGGCAGCAACACCGGGGCUGAGACUGGCAGUGAGGAGGAUACGACGGUUGGAUUGACGAUUUGGUGGCUCCCUGGUGGAGGCUUUGCUGUUAGGAGGUUCGCUGGUGGCAGGAGGGCCGACGAGAGGGAGCUCCCCUGCCAGUUGUCUACACUGAGGUGGAUGGGGGUUUCAACAAUGGUGGUGCACCGAGGAAGAUCUCAUGGUCAUUGA
rnacentral:rRNA from 1 species